rnacentral:rRNA from 1 species
UACGUAGGGCGCAAGCGUUGUCCGGAAUUAUUGGGCGUAAAGAGCUCGUAGGCGGCUUGUCACGUCUGCUGUGAAAUCCCGGGGCGUCAACCCCGGGCCGGUGCAGUGGAUACGGGCUGGCUAGAGGCAGGCAGGGGGAGAACGGAAAUUCCCGGUGUAGCGGUGAAAUGCGCAGAUAUCGGGAGGAACACCGGUGGCGAAGGCGGUUCUCUGGAACGCAACUGACGCUGAGACGCGAAAGCGUGGGGAGCAAACAGG